UGCAAGUCGAACGGCAGCACGGACUUCGGUCUGGUGGCGAGUGGCGAACGGGUGAGUAAUGUAUCGGAACGUGCCUAGUAGCGGGGGAUAACUACUCGAAAGAGUAGCUAAUACCGCAUACGCCCUACGGGGGAAAGGGGGGGAUCGCAAGACCUCUCACUAUUAGAGCGGCCGAUAUCGGAUUAGCUAGUUGGUGAGGUAAAGGCUCACCAAGGCGACGAUCCGUAGCUGGUUUGAGAGGACGACCAGCCACACUGGGACUGAGACACGGCCCAGACUCCUACGGGAGGCAGCAGUGGGGAAUUUUGGACAAUGGGGGCAACCCUGAUCCAGCCAUUCCGCGUGUGCGAUGAAGGCCUUCGGGUUGUAAAGCACUUUUGGCAGGAAAGAAAUCGCACGGGCUAAUAACUCGUGUGGAUGACGGUACCUGCAGAAUAAGCACCGGCUAACUACGUGCCAGCAGCCGCGGUAAUACGUAGGGUGCAAGCGUUAAUCGGAAUUACUGGGCGUAAAGCGUGCGCAGGCGGUUCGGAAAGAAAGAUGUGAAAUCCCAGGGCUUAACCUUGGAACUGCAUUUUUAACUACCGGGCUAGAGUAUGUCAGAGGGGGGUGGAAUUCCGCGUGUAGCAGUGAAAUGCGUAGAUAUGCGGAGGAACACCGAUGGCGAAGGCAGCCCCCUGGGAUAAUACUGACGCUCAUG
rnacentral:rRNA from 1 species